rnacentral:lncRNA from 1 species
GGUAUAUUGAAGCCAAAUUAAAGAAGGAUGUGAAGGUUAGGCUAAGAAGUGUGAUGAGCUUUAUUUAGGUAAUAGGCAAUGAGGAGAAAUUGAAACAUGAAGGAACAUAAUUUGAGGUGUGAUUAUUUGAGUUUUUAAAAUAUUAUCACUGUGCAUCAGAAUGGGUUAGGGAAGGCUUAAAUCCUGGAUGCUGGCUCAGCACCUAUUAGAGCAAUUAAAAUGAGAAAUGAUGCAGACUAAACUAGAAUUUCAGGUAAAAAUGGGAAAAAUAGGCGUUAAAAAAUGGUAUAAACGUUAAAAAACUACACUUGACUGAGUUAGAAUAUGGAGGAAAAGGAAGUAUGGAGAUCAAAAGAAAACAUCAGGAUUUGGGAGCUUGGACACAGGUUUUGCUUUUCCAUCUUUUAUGGAGUAUGAUUUACUUUCAAAUCGCCUCUGAAGAAACCUAUUAGUCAGUCAACUGCAGAAAAACUUCUCCAUAAUAUCUACCUGGAAUAUAUCUUGCUUCCAUUCACCUUCUUCCUUUGUCAAUGACUCUCAGGAGGAAUACAGUCUUUGUCAGUCAUAAAGGAAGGAAGAGUCAAUGACAUAGGAUCCCAAACACGGCUAAAAUGUCUCAUAUCUAAUGCUGUACUCCCCCUCUUAACCAAAAUUUGUGUCAGGAAAAGGCACAAAACUCCACCAAAGGAUUACGGUACCUUAAUCCAAGGAAGUUGUAUAGAGGCUAGUAUUUAAAAUUGUCAUUUUGAUAGGCCCCACUAGUGGAUUUUAUCCCCUGUUAGGUUGGACAAUCCUCAGUAUAUACACCUUACUACACAAAGAUUUUCAUCAUAAUUUAUUGACUUUCUGCUAUGAGAGAUGAGUGUGCUCGUGUGACACCCAAUUAAACACUUAAUCCAUUCAAUUACAUGAAGUACAAAUUGCUUGAGGGGUUCUUGCUGUAUGGCUCACGCUGCUCUUGAACUGCUGGUCUCAAGCGAUCGUCCUGCCUAGGCCUUCCAAAGUGCUGAGAUUACAGGUGUGACCUAUCACACUGGGCCUCAGCUUCACUCUUGAAAUACAUUUUGCUGGUUAUUUGACUUCUAGUUGGCAG